AAAAACAUGUCUUUAAGAUUUUUUUUUAAAGUCCAAUCUGCUCACUGAAAUUUAAAGAGCUGCAGUAUAUUGACUGUACAAAGGUAGCAUAAUCAAUAGUUAUUUAAUUGAUGACUGGAAUGAAAGAUUAGACGAGAAAUUAACUUUCUUUAUAAUAAAAAAUUGAAUUUAAAUUUUAAGUGAAAAUGCUUAAAUAAAUUUAAAGGACGAGAAGACCCUAUAGAUUUUUAUUAAAUUAUGAUUAUUAAAGAGAAAUUUUAUUUAUAAUUUAAUUUAAUUGGGGCGAUUUUGUAAUAUAUUUAACUUAAAUAUUUAUUAACCAAUAAUAAAUGAAAUUUUUGAUCCAAAAUUUUUGAUUUAUAGAAUAAAUUACCUUAGGGAUAACAGCGUAAUUUUAUUUAAGAGUUCAUAUCUAUAAUAAAGUUUGCGACCUCGAUGUUGAAUUAAGAUUUUCAUUGGAGUAGAAAUUAAUGUUAAAUAGUCUGUUCGACUAUUAAAAUCUUACGUGAUCUGA
rnacentral:rRNA from 1 species